UACGGGGGGGAGCAAGCGUUGUUCGGAUUUACUGGGCGUAAAGGGCGCGUAGGCGGCCACCGCAAGUCGACUGUGAAAUCUCCGGGCUUAACCCGGAAAGGUCAGCCGAUACUGCGGGGCUAGAGUGCAGAAGGGGCAACUGGAAUUCUCGGUGUAGCGGUGAAAUGCGUAGAGAUCGGGAAGAACAUCGGUGGCGAAGGCGGCCUGCUGGGCUGUUGCUGACGCUGAGGCGCGACAGCGUGGGGGAGCAAACAGG
rnacentral:rRNA from 1 species